rnacentral:rRNA from 1 species
GAUGAACGCUGGCGGCGUGCCUAAUACAUGCAAGUCGAGCGAACGGACGAGAAGCUUGCUUCUCUGAUGUUAGCGGCGGACGGGUGAGUAACACGUGGAUAACCUACCUAUAAGACUGGGAUAACUUCGGGAAACCGGAGCUAAUACCGGAUGAUAUUUUGAACCGCAUGGUUCAAUAGUGAAAGACGGUCUUGCUGUCACUUAUCGAUGGAUCCGCGCUGCAUUAGCUAGUUGGUAAGGUAACGGCUUACCAAGGCAACGAUGCAUAGCCGACCUGAGAGGCGGGUCGGCCACACUGGAACGUGGACACGGUCCAGACGCCUACGGGAGGCAGCAGUAGGGAAUCUGCCGCAAUGGUCGAGAGCCUGACGGAGCAACGCGGCGUGAGUGAUGAAGGUCUUCGGAGCGUAAAACUCUGUUAUUAGUGAAGAACAUAUGUGUAAGUAACUGUGCACAUCGUGACGGUACCUAAUCAGAAAGCCACGGCUAACUACGUG